rnacentral:rRNA from 1 species
GAUGAACGCUGGCGGCGUGCCUAAUACAUGCAGGUCGAGCGAACAGACGAGGAGCUUGCUCCUUUGACGUUAGCGGCGGACGGGUGAGUAACACGUAGGUAACCUACCUAUAAGACUGGGAUAACUUCGGGAAACCGGAGCUAAUACCGGAUAAUAUUUCGAACCGCAUGGUUCGAUAGUGAAAGAUGGCUUUGCUAUCACUUAUAGAUGGACCUGCGCCGUAUUAGCUAGUUGGUAAGGUAACGGCUUACCAAGGCAACGAUACGUAGCCGACCUGAGAGGGUGAUCGGCCACACUGGAACUGAGACACGGUCCAGACUCCUACGGGAGGCAGCAGUAGGGAAUCUUCCGCAAAGGGCGAAAGCCUGACGGAGCAACGCCGCGUGAGUGAUGAAGGUCUUCGGAUCGUAAAACUCUGUGAUUAGGGAAGAACAAACGUGUAAGUAACUGUGCACGUCCUGACGGUACCUAAUCAGAAAGCCACGGCUAACUACGUG